UCCCCUACGGGGGGCAGCAGUAGGGAACUAUCGUCAAGGGGAGCAAGCCUGAACGAGCGAUGCCGCGUGAGUGAAGAAGGCCUUCGGGUCGUAAAGCUCUGUUGCGGGGGAAAAAAGGCAGCAUCAGGAAAUGGGUGCUGACUGAUGGUGCCCCGCCAGAAAGUCACGGCUACUACGUGCCAGCAGCCGCGGUAAUACGUAGGUCCCGAGCGUUGUCCGGAUUUAUUGGGCGUAAAGCGAGCGCAGGUGGUUUAUUAAGUCUGGUGUAAAAGGCAGUGGCUCAACCAUCGUAUGCAUUG
rnacentral:rRNA from 1 species